rnacentral:pre_miRNA from 1 species
ACUACAUACGAACCGUCGGUUUAUCGAGCAAUAUCACCCGCUCGGUGGAAGAUCUUCCCUUCGCUUCGU